rnacentral:lncRNA from 1 species
CCAACCGCUCCUCUGCACAGGGCUCCGUUUGGCUGCAAAACUGGGCAAGGCCAGCUGGGGACAGGCCCUGGUGCCAGGAGAAUGGAGAGCCCCCAGGGGUCGGCAAAGGAGGACAAGAUGUCUCUCUGCUUUGUUCUGCCUCCUCAGAAGUCGAUCAGGCACCAGAAAUUUCCUGACGUUCCUCAAAGAGGGGCAGGCAGCUGAGGCCGUUGCAAGAGGAGGAGUCCCGCAAGCCUUCCCUCUAUGGGGCUGAGCGUGCUGACCCCAACCCCGCUCCCACGCCAGCGUCAGCCCCGGGGAUAACAGAGCCUAGCACGGGGUUCCCCGGGAGCUCGCCAACCCCACGCGAUGGCGUGUUCUCCUUGUCACCUCCGUGGGUGAUGGGCUGACGGUUGGACUAGAAGAUCUUCGUGUUUUCUCCAACCUGAGUGAUUCUGUGAUACAUUAAAUGAAGCACCGCGGGACUGUCCCCUGGGCUCCCGGCUGUGCUGGUGGCCCCGUGUGGCACUGAGCAUCCCUGCUGGGCUCCUCUCCUCAGGAUCCACUGCUCUUCCACCACAGCGAUGCUGCACCGUGCCACAAACCCCCGGGUGGAAUGGACAUCACAGCUGCCCCAGGGCUCGGCGUGCUGCAGCUCUUAGCCCACAGCAGAGACAGGGAUGGAGCUGCUCCAGCAUAGGCUCUGCUGGUCCAGCCUGCUUUUGCAGCCUGCUCUUCUCCAAAGCUGCAUCCCUGAAGAUGCUGAAGUCAGGCUGUUAUUGCAGAGGAAACCUGUGGAGAGAGACACGUGGGGUUUGAGGAUUAGCUGCUGAAACAGAUGGGAAUUUCCCGGAGCAAGGAGCUGAGGAGGGCAGGGAGGGCUCCUAUACAGCGGGGCUGCUGCCAGCCACGUGGGCUGUGUGAGGACCCCGGGAUGCCCACUGCCUCCCCACAGCGCUGCUGCUGACUCACAUCUCCGCGGGGAGCGGCACACGGCAGCUGUGCGCCCACCCCCUGCACUGCGCACCAGAGCUGGGCACCGGCAUGCUGCAGGGCUGGCAGCCCGUCCUGUUUGGGGACGGUGUCUCCGUGGGGUCCCAGAAGCACUGUCUCUCAUAGAGGCUGCUCCUUGCACACUGCUUUGUGCCCCGAUGCCGCCUGGUGCAUCUCCCACAAGCAGUUCGUGCAGCACUGGCACCGGGAGGCUGUCUGCCUGCAGGGCCCGACGGGAGCUGUGCCGUAUGCUCCGUGUCCCUCCUGCUUACUCUCUCCCUCCAGCUCUUGCACUGCACUUGCAGCAUGUGUCAUAUCCCAUUGAUGUCACCCGCCGUCCCCUGCCUCGUCCCUGCCUGCAGGGCUGCCUGUGCCAGUGGCUGCAAUAAGGGCACCCUGGGGCUCCGCAUCCCCCUGUGUUGGUCCCAGGGCAUAGGCAAUGCCAGCUGGGGGCUGAGCCCCGCAGCCAGGCCUGAACACUGCAAGCAGCGGUUCUGCACAUAGCAACAGAGAGAAUGCAGCACGAUCACAGCUCACGCUCCUUCCUGCCGCUUGGAAGUGUCUAGAGAGCUGAAAAAGCUGCAAGACGUUCUUGCUGCCAUCCUUCUCCCUGCUAGCUUCUUCAUGCUCUGGCUGUGUUUUGAGCCCCCUUUCUGGGGGGGCACAGCACUUCCCCAGACCAAUGGAUACCGAUUUGGCGUGAUGAGGGCUGCAGACAUCCCGCAGCAUGCUGCCCGCCGCGCAGGGCUGGCUGACUCAUCGCCAUGCAGCAUGCAAUUACAAAGGCAAGUGCAGGCCCCUACUGCUUUGCACAGGUAUCUGUGUCAGCCGGGGCUAUUUCCAUCUCUCCCGUGCACUCUCGGCUCAUUAGGAGGGGAAGGAACACAGCCACAGAGCUCACCUGCCUGCCACAGGACUGGGCAUAAUAUUCCAGUGAGCAGAGAGCCAGAAGGGGAAUUACAACCGAGUGACACAAUGGGGGGAGGAGGCAGCAGGGUGCAUUGCCCACACAUCCCACAUACUCACAGCUGCACACGCAGACCGAGCAGGGGUGUGGAGGUGCACCGUGGUGCAGAGCACCAUUGCCAUGAACUCAGAGGUUCCUGGCCGGAAUCCAAGCGAGGGCUGCAGCCUUCCAUCUGCAAGCACCGUUUGCUACAGGGGUUUAGCAACCGGGGCUGUCACAACUGCAGCAGCUGCAGAACCCUCGGCCAUGAGUGGGAGCAGCUCUGCCGUUGCGUCACUGCUUUGUGCAGUGUAGCACAGGGGAUGGAAUGCCCGGCUGCAGUGUGAGGCAGCGUGUGCUGAGCAAAGCAGUGCCCCAUCCUGUUCUCAUACAAGUGCACUUCUCGUGUGUACUUGUUAUUUUCUAACUAUUUGGUAAUGUUCAUUUCAUUUACUGCACGCAUAAGUGAGCAAAUAUGACAUAUACAAAUGUCGGGAAGUAAUUCAGUUUGUUAAGCUUCUUCAUUAAAAGAACUCUGUAUUAUUAAAGUAUCUACACUGUCAUGGGCUGGUAUCCCAUUAGCAACCUUAAUAAGAAAUGCUGUUUAUCCAUUCAGAAACAGAUCUCUGGGGCAUGCAUUUGGCAGCGUGCGUUGAGUCAGUGGUGGCAACCGGCAGCAUCUCUGUGUGCCUGGUCACAGGACAGCGUUUCCCACCCUGAGCUCAUGACCAGGCCAAAAACUUCACCUGC